CUUGAAAGCCAGUUUUGAAAUUGCCUAUUCUGUUUAUAUUUAUACAGCAGAGGAAUUGCUGCAGGAGUCAAGCAUAUCACGGCCUCUUGAAGUUGCUUCGCAGCUCCUCGUAGAAGAGCCCCAGUGUUCAGACUCUGCAUCAAAGAGCUAUCGCACAAAAGUCUUGCAAAGACUACAAGAAAUUGUUGAGAACCAGCAAGACAUCCUUGCCAUGCAGAGGCAGUUACUGGCUGCAGUAGCUGUGACCAUGACAGAGGAAGAUGGGUUUUUUUCUGUAAAAUGGGCCAUGCCAAACAGUGGAGGAUCUGCAGACCCUUGACAGGGAUUUGGAAAAUAAAGAAAAAAGGGCCAAGAUGGUAAUACUUAUGCAAGACACUCAAAUCCUUUACCAAAUCCGAUUUUUUUGCACAUGAUAAUAGUGUAGAUAAUAAAGUCAAGAUAUUUACAUAUACAUUAAGAUGUCAAACAUGUAUUCUGUCUUUUUACAAAGCAUUCUGUUGCAGCUGAAUAACAUGAGCAAAAAUCAGCAGCCUAUAAAACACAGCAAGAUGAAUUUUGCCUGUGUGUUUUAAAAAGAAAAUACCAUAGCAAAAACCACUAGAUUAAUAUAUAUUUCAAAUAUUAAAGUGUUAAAGACAAG
rnacentral:lncRNA from 1 species